rnacentral:rRNA from 1 species
CCUACGGGAGCUGCAGUGGGGAAUAUUGCACCAUGGGCGCAAGCCUGAUGCAGCCAUGCCGCGUGUGUGAAGAAGGCCUUCGGGUUGUAAAGCACUUUCAGCGGGGAGGAAGGCGGUGAGGUUAAUAACCUCAUCGAUUGACGUUACCCGCAGAAGAAGCACCGGCUAACUCCGUGCCAGCAGCCGCGGUAAUACGGAGGGUGCAAGCGUUAAUCGGAAUUACUGGGCGUAAAGCGCACGCAGGCGGUCUGUCAAGUCGGAUGUGAAAUCCCCGGGCUCAACCUGGGAACUGCAUUCGAAACUGGCAGGCUAGAGUCUUGUAGAGGGGGGUAGAAUUCCAGGUGUAGCGGUGAAAUGCGUAGAGAUCUGGAGGAAUACCGGUGGCGAAGGCGGCCCCCUGGACAAAGACUGACGCUCAGGUGCGAAAGCGUGGGGAGCAAACAGGAUUAGAUACCCCGGUAGUC